rnacentral:tRNA from 1 species
GUGCCUGUGGUGUAGUGGUUCGCACACGACCCUGUGGAGGUCGUGGUAUGGGUUCAAUUCCCAUCAGGCACCCCA